rnacentral:antisense_RNA from 13 species
AAUAACCAAAAAUAACACUUUGACUAAGAGUCAAGUUGGUAAUUUGUCUUACAUCUCCUCGCAGAGCCCAUGUAUCAUAUACACCACCAAAAUAGAAGAGCUUUGAACACUAGAAGAAAAACAUUUAUACCUAACAAGAUUAAGUGAAUAUCUAAAAUUAUUAUCACUUUAUUUCUAUCUUUUCA